AGCUGAUGGCAGCCAGUGGCUAGUGGAAACAAAGAAAAAUAAGGUGGAAAAAUUAGGAAUGGGUGACCAUAGAAAUGAGGGAGCUCGGGAUUUUCAGACCAUUUCUUGAGAAAAUCAAGGCCGAUGGUCACUAUUUGGACGGACGGAUAAGUCGAAGAAGGCAAUGUCAUUAGUUCCUCGAUCUAGCGAGGCCUCGAAGAGAGCGGUGGUG
rnacentral:lncRNA from 1 species